rnacentral:rRNA from 1 species
UACGGGGGGGGCAAGCGUUGUUCGGAUUUACUGGGCGUAAAGGGCGCGUAGGCGGCUUAACAAGUCACUUGUGAAAUCUCCGGGCUUAACUCGGAACGGCCAAGUGAAACUGUCAAGCUAGAGUGCAGAAGGGGCAAUCGGAAUUCUUGGUGUAGCGGUGAAAUGCGUAGAUAUCUGGAGGAACACCGGUGGCGAAGGCGGCAUCCUGGACCGAGAUUGACGCUGAGGCGCGAAAGCCAGGGGAGCAAACGGG